UACGGGAGGCAGCAGUGGGGAAUAUUGCACAAUGGGCGCAAGCCUGAUGCAGCCAUGCCGCGUGUAUGAAGAAGGCCUUCGGGUUGUAAAGUACUUUCAGUCGUGAGGAAGGUGUUAAGGUUAAUAACCUUAGCAAUUGACGUUAGCGACAGAAGAAGCACCGGCUAACUCCGUGCCAGCAGCCGCGGUAAUACGGAGGGUGCGAGCGUUAAUCGGAAUUACUGGGCGUAAAGGGCACGCAGGCGGUUAAUUAAGUUGGAUGUGAAAUCCCCGGGCUUAACCUGGGAAUGGCAUUCAAGACUGGUUAGCUAGAGUCUUGUAGAGGGGGUAGAAUUCCAUGUGUAGCGGUGAAAUGCGUAGAGAUGUGGAGGAAUACCGGUGGCGAAGGCGGCCCCCUGGACAAAGACUGACGCUCAUGUGCGAAAGCUGGGGAGCAAAC
rnacentral:rRNA from 1 species